GGAAUUCCUGGUGUAGCGGUGAAAUGCGUAGAUAUCAGGAGGAACACCGGCGGCGAAGGCGGCCCUCUGGAUCGUUGCUGACGCUGAGACGCGAAAGCGUGGGGAGCAAACAGGAUUAGAUACCCUGGUAGUCCACGCUGUAAACUAUGGGUACUAGGUGUUCGGGGUAUUGACCCCCUGAGUGCCGCAGUUAACGCAUUAAGUACCCCGCCUGGGGACUACGGCCGCAAGGUUAA
rnacentral:rRNA from 1 species